rnacentral:rRNA from 1 species
AUUGAACGCUGGCGGCAGGCCUAACACAUGCAAGUCGAACGAGUGGCGGACUGGUGAGUAAUGUCUGGGAAACUGCCCGAUGGAGGGGGAUAACUACUGGAAACGGUAGCUAAUACCGCAUACCAUCGGAUGUGCCCAGAUGGGCUUAGCUAGUAGGUGGGGUAACGGCUCACCUAGGCGACGAUCCCUAGCUGGUCUGAGAGGAUGACCAGCAACACUGGAACUGAGACCCGGUCCAGACUCCUACGGGAGGCACAAGUGGGGAAUAUUGCACAAUGGGCGCAAGCCGGAUGCAGCCAUGCCGCGUGGAUGAAGAAGGCCUUCGGGUGUUAAAGUACUUUCAGCGAGGAGGCGUUACUCGCAGAAGAAGCACCGGCUAACUCCGUGCCAGCAGCCGCGGUAAUAC